rnacentral:rRNA from 1 species
GACGAACGCUGGCGGCAGGCCUAACACAUGCAAGUCAAGGGGCCCUUCGGGGCACCGGCGCACGGGUGCGUAACGCGUGGGAAUAUACAUAUAGGUAAGGAAUAACCGCUGGAAACGGUAGCUAAUACCUUAUAAUAACUUCGGUUCAAAGAUUUAUCGCCUAUAGAUUAGCCCGCGUCAGAUUAGAUAGUUGGUGAGGUAAAAGCUCACCAAGUCGACGAUCUGUAGGGGGUCUGAGAGGAUGAUCCCCCACACUGGUACUGAGACACGGACCAG